GUGUGUGUGUGUGUUCCUGUGCGUCUGGUCUAUUCUGUGCAUUCACGCCAGUCAUUGUGGCAUGCUAAAGAGUUAAUACACUCUCUGAGUGUGUGCUCCUUUCAGAGUGUGCUUCCAAGGCUGUUCCAGCAGCAAGAGCCUCACUACAGUAAUAAUUAAACCAGCUCUCAAAAGUGUUGUAUAUUUCAAGGAUCCUUCAGCAGGGCAGUCCAUUCUGAAUGACUGUGCAUUCCCUUUUUCCUCUUUUUUACAAGUUCAUAUAGUAGCAGAGGUACUGUAUAGUGUAUCCCAGUAUGGCGUUUAAGUGUGUGGACUGCGUCUGCGCACUGCUGGAGGAGUGGAUUUCUGUGUCAUUAUUCCUCCUCCACCCCUCCCACAUUUAGUGCUUUCCACCCUCCCACUCUCCCUCUCUCUCUCUUUCCUUCUGUGGCUCCGUCUCCCACCCAUCUUAUGCUCCCUCCCUCCCUCCCUCCCUCCCUCCCUCCUUCUCCCCCGUCUCCGGUGCAAAUACAGUUCCUUGCCGUGUUGGACAUGUGAUGAAAAAGUGACUCGUUCGCGCGCUCCGCCGCACCUCCUAUUUCAUCAUCAGCAGAGCAUUUCUCCCCUUCACUGUGCGCUCGCUGUCUCCUCCUCUCUUACCCUCUCUCUCUCUCUCUCUCUGAUUUUUCUCUCUCUGUUUCGCUUGCUCCCCUCUUUCUGCUCCAGCCACACGCAAGGGGGAGACUAAAGCUCUGCGAGGGGGGGAAAAAAAGAAAAAAGGUCUGCUGCUAUUUCUACAGUCAGGGCCUCCCCACAGCCCGCCCUUCCAUAGACGGAGCUUUUUUCACUCACUACUAGCUGGAUUUUAACCCUCUGCCUCCAACUAGCUGCACAGCAGCUCUGCAAAACCUGGCAACAAGUUGCUUUUUAGGGGCUUUUUCUCACUUUUGCCGCAUAUAUUUUUGCAUCACUUUGGAUUUGGGCGCAGUUUUUUCCGCUCUUUGGUGGUGUUUCGCCAUGUGAUGGGCCUUGUUCCACCUGGAGUGUUGGGGCGCCAUUUCUGACGGGUAACUUGCUUGGGGUUGGCUCAUGGUCUGGAUGACCACUAUGGAUGACAAGCAGAGAAUUUGACAUGUAUCUGAGCCUUCUUCGGUGACUGGCGUGAAGUACUGCAUCUUCUAUGUCUUUUCUCCUGUCUCUCUUUCCAUUUCCUUCCCAUGUCCUCUCUCUCUCUGUCUCUCACUCCCCCUUGUUCUCUCUCUUUCACACCGACUUGCUCUCCUAACAGGAGAAUGAGUGGUGUGCUGAGCCGGAGCCUUUUCUGGGACAGGUGCCAACUACAAACAAAAGACAUUAAAAGGCAAUAAGGGGAAAAAAUUUUUUUAUUGCGAAAUAUUAUCAUAUUGUUGCAGCAAAAUGACAGAAGUAGCCUUGGAAAUUGUGUCUCUACAUGGCCUCUUUGCUAUUAUUGCAUGUUUGUAUGAAGUAUUAAAACUGAUUUUUUUUUGUAUAGCAGAGGUUUGAAUACUUUGCCACACUUAUUCUAGUGAAGGCAUUUCAUUUGGGAAGAGGGAGGGAGUAAUGUGGGAGAGUAGCAUAUAGACUGCUGAAUUAUUCAUCAUGUGCCCAGUCAAGGCUGUGACUGGACUGGUUGUGCUAUUUGCAUGCAUCAGACAUGCUGUUUGUCUGUUUGCUAACAUUCCUCAUUCAAAGACUUGCUAACUAGCAGACGGGCUUAGCUCGAGUCUUACAGACAGCCUCAUGGCCUCCUAUUGUUUCAGGCCUCAGCAGGCCUGGACCCAGCCCGUGCAGCCCAGAGCUUGUGGCUCACAGUGUGGCUGGAAGAGGGAGUGAGGCUGGAGCUGAGAUUAAGGCUGGGGUUCAGGCUUGAGCUGGGGCUGAGGCACGGCUGUGGAAGGGACAGGCUGAGGGAAAUCCCAUGGUCUAGCAACAACCACCAAACGAGGGCUCAUGGCUUUCUCCUCUUCUUGACAGAGAUGUGGAUCAAAGUGGGAAGAACAUGCCGAGUUUCCCAUCCUGACCGACAUUUGAAAAUUGGCAGUAAGACGGGUUUUGACUUCUGCCCACAAACAAUUUGGCCAAAAAGUGAAAUCAUGGACAGACAGACUGGCGAUCGAAGCAGCAUUAAGUAACAGAUCUUCCCUCUCGGGGAUUUUCAGACGAAGGCUACCUGACAUGCUGCUGAAACCGCGAAGGAGGUUUCGUCCCCCCCUUCGCUGCGUGUUACAGAGCAGGUGAGAAACAUUAACAGCGGCAGCAGCUGCGGCCUUCUGCUCUGCACAUGUGGGCCGGGAUAUGUGCCAGCUUAAGCUUGCCCACUGUCAACACUGGUCACUUUUGUUAACACUCUCCUUUCUGAAGCACACAAACCGUGCUGAGAAAGAAGGGAUACGAUUAUAAUACAUAUAUUUACUUUUUUACAAUGUAUUGUAUCUACUUGCAACCUCACGUCACAUGUAGUUCAACCAAAAAGGGAUUUUUCAUUCCCGAAAAUAUGGUCAGCUUAUUUUAAAAUGGACAAUAUUUAAUGAAAGGAACAUUUUAAUAGUUAUGAGGUUUAACAAUUUCCCGUUAAAUCCUUAUUAAAGGUCCCAUGACAUGGUGCUUUUUAGAUGCUUUUAUAUAAACCUUAGUGGUCCCCUAAUACUGUAUCUGAAGUCUCUUUCCCAAAAUUCUGCCUUGGUGCUGAAUUACAGCCACUAGAGCCAGUCCCACAAUGAGCUUUCCUUAGUAUGUGCCAUUUCUGUGUCUGUAUCUUUUGAGGAGGAUAGAGGGGGGGCAAGUUGGAGGCUGGGGGUGUGGCCUUGACCAACCGCCACUUUGCUCAUUUGAAAGCCAUGAUGUCUCUCUCUCAAGGGUGGGCCAAAUUCUGUGGGUGGGCAAAGCACAGAAAUGGGUGGUAACCUUGCCCCUUAUAACCUCAUAAGGGGCAAGAUGCCAGAUUGGCCCAUUUGAGCUUUCAUUUUCUCAAAGGUAGAGCAGGAUAUCCAGGGCUCGGUUUACACCUAUCGCCAUCUCCAGCCACUGGGGGACCAUAGGCAGGCUGGGGGAACUCAUAUUAAUGUUAAAAAACCUCAUAAAGUGACAUUUUCAUGCCAUUGGAUUUUUUAAGUCACUUGCUGGUCACAUUAUGAAAAUACAGUAUGAAAAUAUCUAGGCCUUACAAUUUGUUUGGGACAUAGCCACCUUGUUGGUUCAUUUGAAUUCCCCCUGAGCUUGAGCCAUGAACUGGGUGACCCGGUCAUCACAUUGUGUUCUGAACACAGACUCCAGUCACACUGGUGAGCUGUCCCAGAGGAGAGUGGCGUGUGUAUUUGUGAGUGUCAGUGAGUCAUAACCGCUGUUUUGCAUUCAUCGAGGUGUGUCAAAGCGGAUUACCUGCAUGAACGGGGACCUGGAAUGAUUUAGUUAUUAAAGACUGUCCUUUGGGGUGAGGUAGUAGGUUGUAUAGUUUUAGGGUCAUACCCUUCCUGUCAGAUAACUAUACAACUUACUGUCUUUCCUGAAGUGGCUGUAAUGUCAUCAGAUGCCGUUGUUGGAGCCUUUGGAUCGGGAUCAACACUGCAAAGUGCAUGUUUACUCACUGAGUGCUAAGAACAUAAUUUACAGCAUUUGAUAGUGGUAGGUUAUUUAGGAUUGUAGUUGCUUUACGUUGUUUUCUCCUGAUUUACAUGGUUGUACUUUAAGACUUUAUGAUCAAUAAAAAAUGGCAA